rnacentral:lncRNA from 10 species
CGGAUCUCGCAAGUACCUGCUCACUAUGCAAGGUCAGCACCAAAUCAUGAGGGAUCUGUCCCUAUGGCCCCCACACCUCCCACCAGGCCCCACCUCCAACACUGGGCAUCACAAUUCAACAUGAGACUUAGAGGGGGCAACAUACAAACUGUAUCAGGUGGAGCCGCAUGACGGGACUAGUGCCCUCAGGAAGAGGAAGAGAUUCCAGAACUUUCUCUCUGUGUCACUUGAGGACACGGCCGGAAGGCAGCCCUGCCUGGACCUUGAAGCUGGACUUCCAGCCUCCAGAACUGUGAGACAUAAACGUCUGCCGUUGAAGGGGCUCAGCUUGUGGUGUGGGAUUGUGGUAGCCCUAGUGAGGCACUGGCCUGUUAGAUGGAAACUUCUGGAGCUAAGGGGCUUUCACCUUUGCACCCAGCACCUGGUCAGAGCUUGGACAUCCUCUCCUAAAGAUUUCCCUAAGCUUGGGUUAAAUUAAUGAGCUGCCCAGAUGCCACAGACCAUGUCUGAGAGCCUGAAGCAGCUGAGGAGGUUGUGUUAUUUAAGUUGGGGCUUGAUUGUUUCAGUUCAUUUUACUCUAGAGGCAGGAAAAACAAUAACGGGUAAGGCCUCUCACCCCGAUGUUUUAGGGAGUGAGGCAAAGCAACCACCCCUGACUUGACAAGAAGACCAUUCUCAAAGGUGAUCAAAAUAGACUCAGGGAAGCAGGCCUGUGGUUCCUUGACGCUCCUCCCAGGCCUUCCUGUUUGUCCCAGCCACCAGCAUCCUGCAGGUACCGAGAGGGUGGAUGUGGACUCACUGCUCGCAGGCCGCCAGCCUGCUAGCCCAGUGUCCCAAGUCAAAAGUCACAGCGACAUGCCGGAAAGACAGUUUCCACAGGACGAGUGGAAAAGGGGGCGUCUCUUCUGCCCAUCGAAGGGUGCAUCCACCUGUGGUAUUAAAGGAUUUACAACUGGCCUCAGAAACGCUGCCGGAGCUGCUCCUUGGGGUCUGUCCGAUGGGAAGAGGCCCCUCCUGUGGCUCCCCAGGUUGAUCGAAGCUGGCAGAGGAUAGAAGAGCUCUGUGGCCGAGUGAGCUGUUUCUGGAGCCAGAUGAGUCUUUGGCAGAGCCUGAGGUCCCCUGCUACUACUGGGCCAAGACGAAUUGACAGAACUUCCAAAACACUUUGCAAAGACAGCGAGUGCACAAAGCUGCAGCUCACAGCCUUGUCCCGUGGCCGGGAGACAGGAUGCAUGCUGAGCUGCUGGGAGGAGGGACAGGAGGAAAAGUGCCUGCAGCUGCAGGAGCACCCACUUGAGAUGCCUCCUGUGUUCAAUCAAGUUCAGAGUAAUUGCUUCCUCACUCCUCCUGGCAAAACUGUUCAACUUGGCACAGUGACAGCUCCUUGUAGAGUUUUUCCAGCUGAUGUCAUUCUUCCUAAGGUCUGCUAGGGUCCCAGCUAACACGACUGUGUUGCACUGGCAUCCAGACCUCCACCAGGAGCAAUUCAAAGGCCUAUUUUUGUGAAUAUGUGGCAAAGAUCCCAGGCUCCAUGGAGGCCUUUUGCACUGGGGACAUGGUGGAAAAUUAAGCCCCAGAGGUAACUACCUACCUGAACGGCAUGAGACCAGCUGAUUAGAUGACAGAAUGGGCAGAUCCGUGGAAGGGAUUGAGUGAGCACUAACAUCGAGCAUUCUUAUAAACUAAGUGAGACUGCAAGAGUCAGGGGCCACUGUGCACAAUUGUGUGAGCUGUGUUUUGCAGCAGGUGUCUGGGGAGCUCAAAUCCACCCACAAAGGGAAGCCUUUCUGACUUGUACAAAGGGCCAUAAGUGGUGGCUCGAACCUGAGGCUCUACCAUGCAGUGAGUGUGGAGAUGUGGAGAUGGGUACACAGGAAUGGACAAUCUAGAGAGGGGAAGAGACUAACAUCCAGCAGCACGUUAACUGUGAAAGCAAACUAAAUAUGGCCUGAGAAGGACUCCAUACUUCUAUAUUUGAGUCCUCGCGGAUGGACUGUAACCUAGCUUAAUAGGCGGACAAAAUUGCAAACAUAACCUGGUAGUAUGCACCUCCAACAAUAGCUAAGUCUUGGCCAACCCCAGUGGCCAUACUCAACCAACCAUACACUGCUGAGUGUUCAAAUUAGGCAUACGCCAAGCAGUAACCAAUCCAGCUGUUUUAUACUUCACUUCUAAUUUCUGUACAUCAUUCCCCCCCCCCCACCUUUUUUUGUCUAUAAAUCUUCUCCACCUGGCUGUGCUGGAGUCUCUGUGAACCUGCUGUGAUUCUGGGGGCUGCCCAAUUCUCAAAUCGAUCAUUGCUCAAUUAAACUUUAAAUUUAAUUCAGCUGAAGUUUCUCUUGCAUCAACUGCUAUAGUAUUUCAGUUUAGUUUCUUUCUCUUUUCUUGAAACUAAUAUGUACUUA